UACGUAGGGUGCGAGCGUUGUCCGGAAUUAUUGGGCGUAAAGAGCUCGUAGGCGGCUUGUCGCGUCUGCCGUGAAAGUCCGGGGCUCAACUCCGGAUCUGCGGUGGGUACGGGCAGACUAGAGUGAUGUAGGGGAGACUGGAAUUCCUGGUGUAGCGGUGAAAUGCGCAGAUAUCAGGAGGAACACCGAUGGCGAAGGCAGGUCUCUGGGCAUUAACUGACGCUGAGGAGCGAAAGCAUGGGGAGCGAACAGG
rnacentral:rRNA from 1 species